GACGAACGCUGGCGGCGUGCCUAAUACAUGCAAGCCGAGCGCAGGAAACCGUCUGAACCCUUCGGGGGGACGACGGGGGAAUGAGCGGCGGACGGGUGAGUAACACGUAAAGAACCUGCCCACGGGUCUGGGAUAACCACGAGAAAUCGGGGCUAAUACCGGACGGGUCAUCGGACCGCAUGGUCCGAGGAUGAAAGGCGCUCCGGCGUCGCCCGUGGAUGGCUUUGCGGUGCAUUAGCUAGUUGGUGGGGUAACGGCCCACCAAGGCGACGAUGCAUAGCCGACCUGAGAGGGUGAUCGGCCACACUGGGACUGAGACACGGCCCAGACUCCUACGGGAGGCAGCAGUAGGGAAUCUUCCACAAUGGACGAAAGUCUGAUGGAGCAACGCCGCGUGAACGAUGAAGGCCCUCGGGUCGUAAAGUUCUGUUGUAAGGGAAGAACAAGUGCCGCAGGCAAUGGCGGCACCUUGACGGUACCUUGCGAGAAAGCCACGGCUAACUACGUGCCAGCAGCCGCAGUAACAC
rnacentral:rRNA from 1 species